AAAAAUGAAAUGACUCUAGGGAACGGAUAUGUUGGCUCUCGCAUCGAUGAAGAACGUAGCAAAAUGUGAUACUUGGUGUGAAUUGCAGAAUCUCGUGAACCAUCGCGUCUUUGAACGCAAGUUGCACCCGAAGCCAUUAGGCCGAGGGCACGCCUGCCUGGGUGUCAUGCACCGUCACCGCCCCUCCGACCCCCCGCCAUCGAGCUCAGGGGAAGGGGUGGGUGAAAGAUGGUUUCCCGUGAUCCCAUCGAUCAUGGUUGGCUAAAAAGUGAGUCCCCGACAAUGACAGUGCCAUGAUCGUCGGGGGUAAAGCUCCCGGUAUGCCUCGUCCCCAGUGACGCGUGCUCGUUGUCCACCCGAACCCCGUCGGACCCCUCACAUUGCUCGAUCGAUGCUCGCAUCGUGAUGCCAGGUCAGGCAGGAUCACCCGCUGAGUUUAAGCAUAUGAAUAAGCAGAGGAAAAGAAACAUACUAGGAUUCCCCUAGUAACGAUGAGUGAACCAGGAAGAGCCCAACCCAAGCCCACCUCGACACUUGCGUGCUCCCCAUUCAGCCCAUCUUGAAACAUGAACCAAGAAGUCUGACAUGCGUGCGAGUCAAUGGGCCAAAAAACCCGUAAAGCACAAGGAAGUUGAUUGAUGGGAUCCCUCAUGGGUGCAUCAUCGAUCGACCUUGAUCUUUUGAGAAGGGUUUGAGUGCAAGCAUGCCCAUUAGGACGCGAAAGAUGGUGAACUAUGCCUAAGCGGGGCGAAGCUAGAGGAAACUUUGGUGGAGGCCCACAGUGAUAUUGAUGUGCAAAUCAUUCGUCUAACUUGGGUAUAGGGGCGAAAGACUAAUUGAACCGUCUAGUAGCUGGUUCCCUCUGAAGUUUUCCUUAGGAUAGCUGAAGCCCCCAACGAGUUCUAUCUAGUAAAGCCAAUGAUUAGAGGCAUUAGGGGUGUAACGCCUUCGACCUAUUAUCAAACUUUAAAUAGGUAAGACAGCGUGACUACUUCGUUGAGCCAUGCCAUGAAAUCGAGAGCUCCAAGUGGGCCAUUUUUGGUAAGCAGAACUGGUGAUGCGGGAUGAACCGAAAUUUGAGUUACGAUCCCAACUACGCGAUAACCCGAAACCCACAAAGGGUGUUGGUCAAUUAAGACAGCAGGACGAUGGUCAUGGAAGUCGAAAUCCACUAAGGAAUGUGUAACAACUCACCUGCCGAAUCAACUAGCCCAAAAAUGGAUGGUGCUUAAGCGUGUGACCUAUACCUGAUCGUCGGGGCAAAGGCCAGGCCCCGAUGAGUAGGAGGGUGUGACGAUCACCGUAAAACUUGGGGCAUGAGCCCGAGCAAAAUGGCCAUCGGUGCAGAUCUUGGUGGUAGUAGCAAAUAUUCAAAUGAAAACUUUGAAGGCUGAAGAGGGUAAAGGUUCCAUGUGAAUGGCACUUGCACAUGGGUUAGUCGAUCCUAAGAGAUGGGGGAAGCCUAUCUGAUAGCGUGUCCCACGUGAGCUUCAAAAGGGAAUCAGGCUAAAAUUCUUGAACCGAGAUGCGAUGACUGACAGUAACGUUAGGGAGUCCAGAGACGUCGGUGAGGGCCUCGAAAAGAGUUAUCUUUUCUGUUUAACGGCCCACCCAUCCUGGAAACGGCUUAACUGAAGGUAGGGUCCAGCGGUUAAAAGAGCACCACACGUCACGUGAUGUCCGGUGCACCCCCGAUGACCCUUGAAAAUCCAAAGGAUCAAGUACUAUCUGUGCCCGAUCAUACUCAUAACCACAUUAGGUCUCCAAGGUGAACAACCUUUGGUCAAUGGAAUAAUGUAGGUAAGGGAAGUCGACAAAAUGGAUCUGUAACCUUGAAAAAGGAUUGGCUCUAAGGGCUGGUCAUAGGGGUCCCAGUCUCGAACCCGUCGAUUGUCGAUGCAUUGCUCGAGCUACUUCCAUGGUGAGAACGGGUCACCGCAUGCCGAUCGGGGGACGAACUGAGAAUGACACCCUCGGAGGCCUUCCACGAGUGACGAACAGUCGACUUAAAACUGGUACGGACAAAAGGAAUUUGACUGUUUAAUUAAAAAGAAAGCAUUGUGAUGGUCCUUGCGGAUGCUCACGCAAUGUGAUUUUUACCAGUGCUCUGAAUGUCAAAGUGAAAAAAUUCAACCAAGCGCGGGUAAACGGCGGGAGUAACUAUGACUCUCUUAAGGUAGCCAAAUACCUUGUCAUCUAAUUAGUGACGUGCAUGAAUGGAUUAAUGAGAUUCCCACUGUCCCUAUCUACUAUCCAGCAAAACCACAGCCAAGGGAACGGGCUUGGUGAAAUCAACGAGAAAAAAGACCCUGUUGAGCUUGACUCUAGUCCGACUUUGUGAAAUGACUUGAGAGGUGUAGGAUAAGUGGGAGCCCUUGGGCGAAAUUGAAAUACCACUACUUUUAACGUUAUUUUACUUAUUUCAUGAAUCGAAAGUGGGGCACGACCCCUUUUUUUCGACCCAAGGCCAGCCUCACCCGGGUGGAAGACAUUGUCAGGUGGGGAGUUUGGUUGGGGUGACACAUCUGUUAAAAGAUAACGUAGGUGUCCUAAGAUGAGCUCAACAAGAACAAAAAUCUUAUGAUAGCGUGGCCUAUUGAUCUUUCAAACCUUUGGGAUUUGAAGCUAGAGGUGUCAAAAAAGUUACCACAGGGAUAACUGGCUUGUGGCAGCCAAGCAUUCAUAGCGACGUUGCUUUUUGAUCCUUCGAUGUAGGCUUUUCCUAUCAUUGUGAAGCAGAAUUCACCAAGUGUUGGAUUAUUCACCCACCAAUAGGGAAUGGGAGCUAGGUUUAGAUCAUCGUGAGAUAGGUUAGUUUUACCCUACUGAUGGCGACGACAUGAUAGUAAUUCAACCUAGUACGAGAGGAAUCGUUGAUUCGCACAAUUGGUCAUCGUGCUUGGUUGAAAAGCCAGUGGCACGAAGCUACCGUUAAUUGGAUUAUGACUGAACACCUCUAAGUCAGAAUCUGGGAUAAAAAUGAUGCACGCACCCACCACCUGAUUGUCGACCCGCAGUAGGGGCCUAUGGCCCCCAAGGGUACAUGUCAUAGGUGCAGCCCCCACGACGGACGAGCCAUGCGAGCCUCCUUAGAGCUCAAUUCCCAUCGAGCGACGAGUAGAAUCC
rnacentral:rRNA from 1 species